rnacentral:rRNA from 1 species
UACGUAGGUGGCGAGCGUUGUCCGGAUUUACUGGGCGUAAAGGGCGCGUAGGCGGCCUGCUAAGUCGAACGUGAAAUCCCUGGGCUCAACCCAGGAACUGCGUCCGAUACUGGUUGGCUUGAAUCCGGGAGAGGGAUGUGGAAUUCCAGGUGAUAGCGGUGAAAUGCGUAGAUAUCGUGGAGGAAUACCGGUGGCGAAAGCGGCUCUCUG